rnacentral:snRNA from 1 species
GCCUGGCUCCCUGUAUGC